UACGGGGGGAGCAAGCGUUGUUCGGAUUUACUGGGCGUAAAGGGCGCGUAGGCGGCCACCGCAAGUCGGUUGUGAAAUCUCUGGGCUUAACCCAGAAAGGUCAACCGAUACUGCGGGGCUAGAGUGCAGAAGGGGCAACUGGAAUUCUCGGUGUAGCGGCGAAAUGCGUAGAUAUCGAGAGGAACACCUGGGCGAAGGCGGGUUGCUGGGCUGACACUGACGCUGAAGCGCGAAAGCUAGGGGAGCGAACGGG
rnacentral:rRNA from 1 species